rnacentral:rRNA from 1 species
AACGAACGCUGGCGGCAGGCUUAACACAUGCAAGUCGAACGCCCCGCAAGGGGAGUGGCAGACGGGUGAGUAACGCGUGGGAACAUAUCCUUUCCUGCGGAAUAGCUCUGGGAAACUGGAAUUAAUACCGCAUACGCCCUACGGGGGAAAGAUUUGUCGGGGAAGGAUUGGCCCGCGUUGGAUUAGCUAGUUGGUGGGGUAAAGGCCUACCAAGGCGACGAUCCAUAGCUGGUCUGAGAGGAUGAUCAGCCACAUUGGGACUGAGACACGGCCCAAACUCCUACGGGAGGCAGCAGUGGGGAAUAUUGGACAAUGGGCGCAAGCCUGAUCCAGCCAUGCCGCGUGAGUGAUGAAGGCCUUAGGGUUGUAAAGCUCUUUCACCGAUGAAGAUAAUGACGGUAGUCGGAGAAGAAGCCCCGGCUAACUUCGUGCCAGCAGCCGCGGUAAGAC